AAAAGAGUGGCAGAUUUUACAAAUGCACAGAUUUUAAGCAUCUGUUAUACCUUUGGUCUCUUUUU
rnacentral:tRNA from 1 species